rnacentral:rRNA from 1 species
UACGUAGGGCGCAAGCGUUAUCCGGAAUUAUUGGGCGUAAAGAGCUCGUAGGCGGUUUUGUCGCGUCUGCCGUGAAAGUCCGGGGCUCAACUCCGGAUCUGCGGUGGGUACGGGCAGACUAGAGUGAUGUAGGGGGAGACUGGAAUUCCUGGUGUAGCGGUGAAAUGCGCAGAUAUCAGGAGGAACACCGAUGGCGAAGGCAGGUCUCUGGGCAUUAACUGACGCUGAGGAGCGAAAGCAUGGGGGAGCGAACAGG